UACGGCGGGUGCGAGCGUUAUCCGGAAUCACUGGGUUUAAAGGGUGCGUAGGCGGCGAGGUAAGUCAGUUGUGAAAUUCCCCGGCUUACCGGAGGGACUGCGAUUGAUACUGCUUUGCUUGAAACAGGUUGAGGUAAGCUGAAUGUGGCAUGUGGCGGUGAAAUGCAUAGAUAUGCCAUAGAAAACCGAUUGCGAAGGCAGCUUGCUGGGCCGUGUUUGACGCUGAGGCACGAAAGCGUGGGGAGCAAACAGG
rnacentral:rRNA from 1 species